UUGGUAAUUUUCAAAAUUCACUCCUGAUCUCUCCAAUCCACUAUAUAUCCUAAUUUUGUACAUGAGAUGUGUUGCGGCCCAUCUCUGACGAGAUAGUCGGCCGAAAGUCGAGUUAUACGUCUGAGCAAUGAACAACAGGGAACCUAAGAAAGUUCUCUUAUCGAAAAUUAUUUGAUGGGGGACCCUUUGAUACCUAAGCC
rnacentral:lncRNA from 1 species